rnacentral:misc_RNA from 1 species
GAAAUGCGAUAAGUAAUGUGAAUUGCAGAAUUCAGUGAAUCAUCGAAUCUUUGAACGCUCAUUGCGCCCCCUGGUAUUCCGGGGGGCAUGCCUGUUCGAGCGUCAUUUCACCACUCAAGCCUCGCUUGGUAUUGGGCGACGCGGUCCGCCGCGCGCCUCAAAUCGACCGGCUGGGUCUUCCGUCCCCUCAGCGUUGUGGAAACUAUUCGCUAAAGGGUGCCGCGGGAGGUCACGCCGCAAAACAACCCCAUUUCUAAGGUUGACCUCGGAUCAGGUAGGGAUACCCGCUGAACUUAAGC